GAUGAACGCUAGCUACAGGCUUAACACAUGCAAGUCGAGGGGAAACGGCAUUUAGUGCUUGCACCGAAUGGACGUCGACCGGCGCACGGGUGAGUAACGCGUAUCCAACCUACCCAUUACUGUGGGAUAACCUGCCGAAAGGCAGACUAAUACCGCAUAGUCUUCGAUGACGGCAUCAGAUUUGAAGUAAAGAUUUAUCGAUAAUGGAUGGGGAUGCGUCUGAUUAGCUUGUUGGCGGGGUAACGGCCCACCAAGGCAACGAUCAGUAGGGGUUCUGAGAGGAAGGUCCCCCACAUUGGAACUGAGAUACGGUCCAAACUCCUACGGGAGGCAGCAGUGAGGAAUAUUGGUCAAUGGGCGCGAGCCUGAACCAGCCAAGUAGCGUGCAGGAUGACGGCCCUAUGGGUUGUAAACUGCUUUUGUAUGGGGAUAAAGUCAAUCACGUGUGAUUGUUUGCAGGUACCAUACGAAUAAGGACCGGCUAAUUCCGUGCCAGCAGCCGCGGUAAUACGGAAGGUCCGGGCGUUAUCCGGAUUUAUUGGGUUUAAAGGGAGCGUAGGCCGGAGAUUAAGUGUGUUGUGAAAUGUAGACGCUCAACGUCUGACUUGCAGCGCAUACUGGUUUCCUUGAGUACGCACAACGUUGGCGGAAUUCGUCGUGUAGCGGUGAAAUGCUUAGAUAUGACGAAGAACUCCGAUUGCGAAGGCAGCUGACGGGAGCGCAAACUGACGCUUAAGCUCGAAGGUGCGGGGUAUCGAACAGG
rnacentral:rRNA from 1 species